UUAUGGCCAUAUCACAUUGAAACAUUGGUUCUCUGUAGGAUCACCAAAGUUAAGAAACAUCAAGCCUGGUUAGUACUAAGAUGGGUGACUGCUUCGGAAUACCAGAUGCU